CCGCCCGUCACAUCACGAAAGUGAGCUGUACUAGAAGUCGCCGCGCGAACCGCAAGGACGCAAGCGCCCAAGGUAUGACUCAUGAUUGGGGUGAAGUCGUAACAAGGUAGCCGUAGGAGAACCUGCGGCUGGAUCACCUCCUUUCUAA
rnacentral:rRNA from 1 species